UACGGAGGGUGCAAGCGUUGUUCGGAAUUAUUGGGCGUAAAGGGCAGGUAGGUGGUACUGCAAGUCUGGAGUGAAAUCCUUGGGCUCAACCCAAGAAGUGCUUCAGAAACUGCAGAACUUGAGUACUGGAGAGGCGAGCGGAAUUCCCGGUGUAGCGGUGAAAUGCGUAGAGAUCGGGAGGAACACCAGAGGCGAAGGCGGCUCGCUGGACAGUAACUGACACUCAACUGCGAAAGCGUGGGGAGCAAACAGG
rnacentral:rRNA from 1 species